rnacentral:tRNA from 1 species
GGGGAUUUAGCUCAGUGGUGCAGCGCCUGCCUGAAAAGCAUGAGGUCCUGAGUUCGAUUCCAGGUAUCCCCA